rnacentral:rRNA from 1 species
GACGUAGGGGGCAAGCGUUGUUCGGAAUUACUGGGCGUAAAGGGCGCGUAGGCGGCGCGGGUAGUCAUCGGUGAAAGUUCAGGGCUCAACUCUGAAUCGGCCGGUGAUACUCCCGUGCUCGAGCACUGUAGAGGCAGGUGGAAUUCCGGGUGUAGCGGUGGAAUGCGUAGAGAUCCGGAAGAACACCGGUGGCGAAGGCGGCCGUGCUGGGCAGUGAGCUGACGCUGAUGCGCGACAGCGUGGGGAGCAAACAGG